AAUGGUUAACUGUAGAGUCAACCGUGUAUACAAAUGCAAGUAUCUUUCGUCUGUAGAAGGCAGCAACCCUACAGAAACAUGGAGGUCUCUGACGGCAUGUCUGGCAAGUCUGAUUAUUUCCCUUGACACAGC